AUUGAACGCUGGCGGCAGGCCUAACACAUGCAAGUCGAGCGGAUGAAGGGAGCUUGCUCCUGGAUUCAGCGGCGGACGGGUGAGUAAUGCCUAGGAAUCUGCCUGGUAGUGGGGGAUAACGUCCGGAAACGGGCGCUAAUACCGCAUACGUCCUGAGGGAGAAAGUGGGGGAUCUUCGGACCUCACGCUAUCAGAUGAGCCUAGGUCGGAUUAGCUAGUUGGUGGGGUAAAGGCCUACCAAGGCGACGAUCCGUAACUGGUCUGAGGGGAUGAUCAGUCACACUGGAACUGAGACACGGUCCAGACUCCUACGGGAGGCAGCAGUGGGGAAUAUUGGACAAUGGGCGAAAGCCUGAUCCAGCCAUGCCGCGUGUGUGAAGAAGGUCUUCGGAUUGUAAAGCACUUUAAGUGGGGAGGAAGGGCAGUAAGUUAAUACCUUGCUGUUUUGACGGUACCAACAGAAUAAGCACCGGCUAACUUCGUG
rnacentral:rRNA from 1 species